CCCUCCCCGGCGGCGCUUCCUGCCUGCUCAUAUAGCGCGCCCCCAGCCACGUGGACGGCGCCGGGGGCCCCGCGGCCCCUCCUCGGAUCCGGGCAGGGCGGUGCCAGGGCGGUGCCAGGGCGGCCCCCACCAGCCCAUCGCGCAGCGUGGGAGAGCUGCGCACCCGCGUAGGGCAGCUUCACGCCUGUAGGGGCAGGCUGUGUGGCGCGCCCCCUGGGGCUGCGGGCGUCCGUGAGGGAGAGGGACAGGCGGUGGGUCGCAGCCACCAAGUGGAACUGCUCCCUGAGCGCUUCGAGGUGAAAUCCCCGCUGCCACGGUGACCUCCCUAGCGGGUCACCACUCAGAAAUACCUGUGUGCUUCCCUCGGCUCCGAAACUCUCGUAUCAGGCUCAGCGUUGUGUAUCCCACAGGUAAUCGCGGCAGGGAAUGUGGAAUGGAAUUUGGUGCUUCUCGGAGGAGAAAACAUGCUUUAUACCAUUAAUAAUAAUAUAGCACAUAGUUUCUUUCAGUCCAGCAUCAAUCUCUCCCCACAGAGAUCCAUGCCUCUGGUGGAGUGUCUGCUAAAACUCUUCCACAACGUCACGCUGGCUUUUUUAGCAUCAAUGUGUAAAGACUCCAGAGAGGUGGGAUGGUUAUAGCAUCUCCCAAGAAGAAAAUGAUCUCUCUGAUCUUCACUCCAGACCCCUCCCCACAGACAACACAGCCUGGCACACAUCAGAUGGGAGAACGUAUUCCUGAGCUCUGGACAGGGUCCUUAACACCGGCCAGCUGGUACAUAACUCCCUUUGUGAAGUGGAUGAGUUUACAGGUUAUUAAUCUACUUACAGAAACUGCCCACGUUGUUGGUGUAUUACAUCCAGCUAUUCGUACUUCCACUGGAAACUGCAACGUGCUACGUAGGAGCUGUAAAGUCAUCAAUCAUCACUGAGCUGGUUUCCAUAGAGUUCUAUUAGUAAAAGUGUGAAUCCAGACCCGUGUCACAUCGUAUGCCGCGCGGUUAGGAUAUCUGCAUUCGGGUGAGCUGCUUGCCAGAGGUGGCACAGGGCCCUUGAGGAGCUCCGAUUUGAUCACCUGUGACAGUUUCUGCAACCCUCUUGACUUGAUACUGUCAUACCUUCAGGCAAAUUAGUUGAAUCUGCUGCUUCAUUUCCUUCCUGAUGAUUGUGGGUGGGUGGGUCUGUCUGUUUAUGGAAAAAAACAGCUUGCCAGCUGACUGAGCAUCAAGUUUGGAGACCUCUUCCAAAGAUUUUUGAGGUGAUGGAGGGAGAGAGAGGGUGAUGAGACCACUGAAGAAUAUCCUAUGAAAGCAAGUAUGCUUAGGGAAAGAGGAGCCAGAUAUUCUGAGACAACAUGAUUUGUCACCAUAUGGUAUAUAGAGUUUUACUACCACUAUCACAGAUUGUAUCAAGGAAAGCACCCUGCCAUCAACAGUGUCCUAAUAGCUAAGAUGACACUGGAACAGGUUUCCCAGAGAAGUUGUGGAUUCCCCCUCCCAGGAAGUGUUCAAGACCAGAUUGAAUGGAGCUUUGGACAUCCUGGUAUAGUGGAAGAUGCCCCUGCCCAUGGCAGGGCAGUUUGAACUACACCUGAUCUUUAAGGUCUCUUCCAAUCCAAACCAUUCUAUGAUUCUGUGACUGAUGAAAGUACUCUGCAGUACACAGGGGGUAAAAUACCUUAGAUUAUAUCUAUGAUGAUUUUACAGGUCUUUUCCAGCUGAAACAAUUCUAUAAUUCUGUGACAUGGUGAACUCUUUUCCAGCCACACCAGCUUUGGUUACGGGCUGCAGGGAAGAGAUGUGUAAGCAAACUCUAGAAUGUCUAAUUUUGAUCAGAAAAGCUCCUUUCUCUAAAGCAAAGCAAAACAGAAGGGUACUUGCUCAGGAGGUGGCCUCGUGGAAUCAUGACACAGCAGCAUGGCUGGAGCAUGGAAGAGUGCAGAUCACAGAGUUCCUCAGGCCUCUGCUAGUGCCUGGUUGAACCAAGAGCAGAGAACAAGAUCAAAUCCUUCUCAACCAGCAAGUGUGGAGCCUAUUUCUCUUUAUUAUAUCAGUAUUGGUUUUAAUUAACUCUUUUGGAUACUCUCAACUCCACUGAUGCACCCCAAUAUGCAUGUAGGUAGCAAGUGCUCUCUGCCAUAGUAAUUACAGCAGGGUCCAACCUGGAGGCUUGAAUUCUCUCCCCUUUAUACUGUAUAAUUUCCCUAGCAAGUGUCAUGUAGAUGUUUUUGGGAACGAAUCCAAGAGUUGUUUCACAGACGUUUCCUCAACAGUUCAGUGAAUAUGAAAUAUUUUGAAGUAACCAUGCAAAUCUCACUUGUCUUCUUAUGUAGCAAAACGAUAUCUGUUCUAAACUGUGGACCAGGGCUUUCAGCUGCUGAUGUGGAAUAGCUGUGCAAACAUCAAAGGAGCUGUAUCAGUUUUCACCAAGUGAGGAUCCAGCCCUUUAUUCACAUUUUAAAAUUCAGAAUCUGUGUCUAAGUAAAGCAUUUUUCUCUAUGUUUUUAAGUAGCCAGUAUUUUAUUUUAUGGCUGUUCCCUCAGUGGUAGGAUUGUUUCUUGUAGUCAGUGUUUAAAGGCCCUUCAAGGCUGAUGGAAUUAAAAAUGAAUAAUUUAAA